CUUUGCCCUUUUAUUUUUUAAGCUUGUCCAACUUAUUUGCACAGAAGGGGGAAGAAGUUUUUAUGGAAAAGAUAAACUGCAGAUGUAACUCUGUGUGCAGAGAUGUGUGUAUGUAGUAAAUCUGCUGAAAAGCUGUUUAUGGAUUUUGUUUUGUUGGCUUCAAGGGGCUGUUCCCAAAUUACCUUGGUGUCACACUGGAAUGAGAUCAUCUCAGUUCGACCACCACUCAAAACAUCACUCUUACCCAUAAAACAUCACUGGCUUCCAACACUCUCAAAAGUACAAAAGGAGCUGCUUCAUCUGACUCAGCAAUAAAUAGCAGAGAAGAGAUGGGCUCUGGGAAUUCACAGAUAUGAUGUGCACAGUCAUUUUCUGAUUGUGAAGGGGACCACUGUAAAUCUCUGUGCACCCAGACUGGAUCUUGCACUGAAAAGCAUCAAAAUCUGAAUUAUACAGAGGCUAUGCAGCACUAUGGGCAACAGGGAAGCAAGCUAACACUAUCUCCUGAUUUCACAAGAAAAAAGUCAGAAAUACCACAACAACUAAAAGACAUCUUGAAUAAAGAAACACUUCAGUGGACCCAAUCUUCAGGGGUGCAUUCAGUUUCUCUGCCACAGGUACCUCUCAGCCAGCAAGGCACACUCAGGUAUAGACAGGCGUACCCCAGUCGUGUGGCACCCGUGAAUAGAUCCAGUGAGCCUGUGCAGCUGUGUUUUGAUCAGCAGAGAGGUUUCCUGGCAUCCGAGAACUGAAAUCACCUU
rnacentral:lncRNA from 1 species